rnacentral:lncRNA from 1 species
AGAGUCCAGUAGGAGCAAAGUCUGCUGCUGCCUGAACUCCUGCUGGUUCCCUCCGUCUGCGACUUAUCCUUCGUUUCUGAAUGGGGGAUUCGACAAAACGUUAACAAAGUUCCCCGUCUCACUCGCCCUCUGCCGUUCUCAUUCCCCGGCCUUUCUUUCUGCUCUUCCUGUUGCUACAAACACCGGCAGCCUUGGGAUAAACAAACAGCACAUGUCCUCCGGUGACCCUGGCUUUACCGGAGACCAUAUCCACGUGUACUGUAUGCUGGAGUUGGGUCCGGUAAAAUACACCGGAUCAAUGCUCCAGUUGUACAGAGACUUCUGAUCUGGAUCGCUCAUCGUAGGUCAGGAAAAAUGCACUUUUAUCCUUAUUUCAUCGCAUUUUUGGAUGUUUUUUUUUUCAAUUAUGUACCGACAGA